CAGCAGCCGCGGUAAUACGAAGGGUGCAAGCGUUAAUCGGAAUUACUGGGCGUAAAGCGUGCGUAGGCGGUUUGUUAAGUCUGCUGUGAAAUCCCCGGGCUCAACCUGGGAAUGGCAGUGGAUACUGGCAAGCUAGAGUGUGUCAGAGGAUGGUGGAAUUCCCGGUGUAGCGGUGAAAUGCGUAGAGAUCGGGAGGAACAUCAGUGGCGAAGGCGGCCAUCUGGGACAACACUGACGCUGAGGCACGAAAGCGUGGGAGCAAACAGGAUUAGAUACCCCUGUAGUCCCUGUCUCUUAUACA
rnacentral:rRNA from 1 species